CAGAAAACGACGAGGAGGAACUCACUGGCUUUAAGCUGACUUUUCAUCAGCUGCGUUUGCGUCCCUUCUCCGCAGUCGAAGAGCCAGCAGUCUCCCUCGGUCCGGAGAACGAGAGCUGAGGCUCCACGGUGCGGAGACGGGAGGUUGCACUACACUACCGUGGUUCCUUGAAAAGGAGAUUUCCAUCUCAAUGGAAUAAAUCCACACGAACGUGGACCAUCGCAGAGACUGUUGCAUCAUCUUGUUCAAAAACACUAAACAGUUCAAUUAGAGGCAAUGUACUGCAAUGAAUUGCAAACUGGGGCCAGCUUCAUCUGCAGCGAAGUGAGAAUGAGACCAUGGAGCUGUUUGCUUCUGUCGUGACGUGAGAAAGCCGAACCACAGGCAGCGCUGCUAAUGACGUUAGCGGUGCUGGAGGACAGCCAUACCGAGCGGGGCCUUCACCAGGAGCUGUCCUGGCCUGGCUAAAGCGACAGUGGGGCCGGUGUUUCUCCGGGGGACAGGCCGACUCGGCUGGACCGAGCAGACGCAGACUGGCCGCUGGACGGGUAAGACCCACGCCGGUUUGUACUGGACACACUCGGGACACCACCGCAGCCGAGCCCAAGCAGUUUUGGCACGUUUUGAGACCUGUUAGUUGGCCCCCUUUUUUAAUGAGUUGUCACCCAAGCAUGGUCAAGGAGUUUGUGUUCCCCCCCCCAGAGACUCGAACCAGCCAGAGCUCUGUUCUCCAGCAGGUCAAGCGGUUUUGGGCUGGACAAAUAAUGCCCCCCAGAAAAGAGAUCUUCAUUUAAGAAUACGGAUUUGUCCUUAUUGUACGCGAAGUGACACUGAUGCUUAAAUGAUUGUCCCAGAAAUCCAUGAGUCAUCGCGUGGUGAUAAUUUGAGCAUUCCGUCUACCGCGAGCUUCCCCCGCCCCGUCCCGCGUAUUUGUACGCACACGCAGCGUCUGUGUGAACACACGUUUCUCAGGCCAUAGCACCUACAGGCAUGUGUGAAAUCCAAAACCUGCUCUUCACUUUCGUAACAGAAUCCCUGGGUCAG